rnacentral:rRNA from 1 species
UUCGAACGAUGAAACCGCGGUGCUUGCACUUGGGGGAUUAGUGGCGAACGGGUGAGUAACACAGUGAGUAACCUGCCCUGGACUCUGGGAUAACCCCGAGAAAUCGGAGCUAAUACCGCGAUAGGACCUUUCCUCGCAUGAGGUUGGGUGGAAAGUUUUUUCGGUUUGGGAUGGACUCGCGGCCUAUCAGCUUGUUGGUGAGGUAAUGGCUCACCAAGGCGUCGACGGGUAGCCGGCCUGAGAGGGUGACCGGCCACACUGGGACUGAGACACGGCCCAGACUCCUACGGGAGGCAGCAGUGGGGAAUAUUGCACAAUGGGCGCAAGCCUGAUGCAGCAACGCCGCGUGCGGGAUGACGGCCUUCGGGUUGUAAACCGCUUUUAGUAGGGAAGAAGCCUUCGGGUGACGGUACCUGCAGAAAAAGGACCGGCUAACUACGUGCCAGCAGCCGCGGUAAUACGUAGGGUCCGAGCGUUGUCCGGAAUUAUUGGGCGUAAAGAGCUCGUAGGCGGUUUGUCGCGUCUGCUGUGAAAUCCCGGGGCUCAACUCCGGG